AACAACAACAGCAUAUUUUUUCGUAUAAUCUCAAGAAUCGGCUUGAGAGUCUCUACUCGGUCACCGUAAAUGAUCAGGCUACGAAAAUGGUGGAAAAGCGC
rfam:Bacillus sp. FJAT-26390 scaffold4, whole genome shotgun sequence.